GACGAACGCUGGCGGCGUGCUUAACACAUGCAAGUCGAACGGAAAGGCCCUGCUUUUGUGGGGUGCUCGAGUGGCGAACGGGUGAGUAACACGUGAGUAACCUGCCCUUGACUUUGGGAUAACUUCAGGAAACUGGGGCUAAUACCGGAUAGGAGCUCCUGCUGCAUGGUGGGGGUUGGAAAGUUUCGGCGGUUGGGGGUGGACUCGCGGCUUAUCAGCUUGUUGGGGGGGUAGUGGCUUACCAAGGCUUUGACGGGUAGCCGGCCUGAGAGGGUGGCCGGCCAAAUUGGGACUGAGGUACGGCCCAGACUCCUACGGGAGGCAGCAGUGGGGAAUAAUGCACAAUGGGCGGAAGCCUGAUGCAGCCACGCCGCGUGCGGGAUGACGGCCUUCGGGUUGUAAACCGCUUUCGCCUGUGACGAAGCGUGAGUGACGGUAAUGGGUAAAGAAGCACCGGCUAACUACGUG
rnacentral:rRNA from 1 species